GUUCAGAUGUUUUGUGCUUCUUCGCAUAUCAACAGGUGAACAGGUGAUGACGUUUCCUGUAGUUUUGUUCCCGGAGGAGGAAGACUGUGACAUCAGUUCCAUGCCAGGAUGGAGCAAGCGCAGUACUCCAAGGCACCAGAGAGGUACUCC